AACGAACACUGGCGGCAUGCCUAACACAUGCAAGUCGAACGAGACCUUCGGGUCUAGUGGCGCACGGGUGCGUAACGCGUGGGAAUCUGCCCUUGGGUUCGGGAUAACAGUCGGAAACGACUGCUAAUACCGGAUGAUGUCUUCGGACCACAGAUUUAUCGCCCAGGGAUGAGCCCGCGUCGGAAUAGCUAGUUGGUGAGGUAAAGGCACACCAAGGCGACGAUCCGUAGCUGUUCUGAGAGGAUGAUCAGCAACACUGGGACUGAGACACGGCCCAGACUCCUACGGGAGGCAGCAGUGGGGAAUAUUGGAAAAUGGGCGAAAGCCUGAUCCAGCAAUGCCGCGUGAGUGAUGAAGGCCUUAGGGUUGUAAAGCUCUUUUACCCGGGACGAUAAUGACAGUACCGGGAGAAUAAGCCCCGGCUAACUCCGUGCCAGCAGCCGCGGUAACAC
rnacentral:rRNA from 1 species